rnacentral:rRNA from 1 species
AUUGAACGCUGGCGGCAGGCCUAACACAUGCAAGUCGAGCGGUAGAGAGAAGCUUGCUUCUCUUGAGAGCGGCGGACGGGUGAGUAAUGCCUAGGAAUCUGCCUGGUAGUGGGGGAUAACGUUCGGAAACGGACGCUAAUACCGCAUACGUCCUACGGGAGAAAGCAGGGGACCUUCGGGCCUUGCGCUAUCAGAUGAGCCUAGGUCGGAUUAGCUAGUUGGUGAGGUAAUGGCUCACCAAGGCGACGAUCCGUAACUGGUCUGAGAGGAUGAUCAGUCACACUGGAACUGAGAAACGGUCCAGACUCCUACGGGAGGCAGCAGUGGGGAAUAUUGGACAAUGGGCGAAAGCCUGAUCCAGCCAUGCCGCGUGUGUGAAGAAGGUCUUCGGAUUGUAAGGCACUUUAAGUUGGGAGGAAGGGUUGUAGAUUAAUACUCUGCAAUUUUGACGUUACCGACAGAAUAAGCACCGGCUAACUCUGUGCCAGCCGCCGCAGUAA